rnacentral:rRNA from 1 species
CCCGCUGAACUUAAGCAUAUCAAUAAGCGGAGGAAAAGAAACUAACAAGGAUUCCCCUAGUAACGGCGAGUGAAGCGGGAAGAGCUCAAAUUUGUAAUCUGGUGGACUCAGUCCAUCCGAGUUGUAAUCUAUAGAAGUGUUUUCCGCGCCGGACCGUGUCUAAGUCCCUUGGAACAGGGUGUCAGAGAGGGUGAGAAUCCCGUGCUUGAUACGACCACCGGUGCUAUGUGAUACACUUUCAACGAGUCGAGUUGUUUGGGAAUGCAGCUCAAAAUGGGUGGUAAAUUCCAUCUAAAGCUAAAUAUUGGCGAGAGACCGAUAGCGAACAAGUACCGUGAGGGAAAGAUGAAAAGCACUUUGGAAAGAGAGUUAAACAGUACGUGAAAUUGUUGAAAGGGAAACGAUUGAAGUCAGUCGUGCGCGCUGGGACUCAGCCGGUUCUGCCGGUGUACUUCCCAGUGUGCGGGUCAACAUCAGUUUAGAUCGCUGGAUAAGGGCAUUAGGAACGUGGCUCCCUCGGGAGUGUUAUAGCCUAGUGCCGCAUACAGUGGUUCAGACUGAGGAACGCAGCUCGCCUUUAUGGCCGGGGUUCGCCCACGUCCGAGCUUAGGAUGUUGACAUAAUGGCUUUAAACGACCCGUCUUG